AGGGAGAAAAGCAGGCUCCCUGUGGGGAGCUGAGUGCAGGACUCAAUCCCAGGACCCCAGGAUUACGACCUGAGCAGACGCUCAACCUCUGAGCCACCUGGGCACCCCCUCUUGUAUAAUUUAAGGAAGGUGAUUUACAAUGACAGAACUUUGAAGUGUCUUUGGCCAUAUGAAGGAAUGUGAUAUUAUCUGGGUUAUUAAUGUUUUUUUCUCUGAGCAUACCUGAAGGACACAACCCAAGACAAGACGGUGAGCCUCAACUAGAAGGGAUGCCCCCGCUGGGGAGAAUAUCAGAAUAUGGAGGGAGGAGCAGGACUCAGAGGGCACAUCACAGCCCCACGUAUACCCAGGAGGUCAUUAUAAACAGCAAAAUUAUCAACAAAAAGCACAUAAUAAGCUACUAAAUAGACCAUGAAAGGGACACUUGUUUAUCGUAAGAGAGCUGAAACAAGGAGCCAGCCCAUCAUCCUGUUCAGCCUCAGCUGGGAAGAAGUAACAAUCAUCAUUGUCAUGUGAAACAUGGAGAGUAUAGCAAAUUCAACCCCAAAAGAGAUACAAAGGCAAUUUGACAAAAUCAACAUCUCCCCGGUCAUCCUAGAUUUGAAACCACUGUGGCAGCAAAUUUAACAGAGGACCGAAUGAGAGGACUCCGUGGGCUCUCGAGGAGGAGUGGGAGAGCCUUACUGUUUUAAAGACUCUUUGCUGUUUAUCCUCCUUACUUUGCGGGAGUAACUGCAGAAUUUUUCCUUGGAAGUGAUUUUUCUUUUUGAAUGGGAAAACGCUUUAAUAGACUUUACACUUACACCUAAUCUGGGCGGGAAUGGUUUGGACAGAACAAGACCAAAAUUUCUCUAUGUAAAAAUGCUACCUUCCUUGGACAGUGAUGCACAUCUGUUGUGCUGUGGGCUCUUGGGUAAGAGGCAGCACGGGAGACCAAGGAGCAGGGACUCAGGGAGAGGCAAAGAUGGGAGAAGAGGCUCUGGCUUGCAGGAAGUAGAUGCCAGUGAUUUGCAGGAAGGCGCACAUGGGCCGAGAGUGGAAGUAUCUGUAAUGGUCAUAAGCUAAGACCCUGCUGCCUUCCACUAUUCUCCUUUUCUGCACUGCUAAACCCCCAUGCAAACCUCCCAUCUUUAGUCAAGACUGUUAUGCCAGCUGCCUCGCUUAGUGAUCCCUGAGGGAUUAGGAAGGGACUGGGGAGAGAAGUCUUCAGCUUGCAGGUGAUGACAAGGACACCAGGGGUAACCAACAGGAAAUCUGGAGCCACUGAGCCAAACGAGACAGGGUAGGUGGCAAGCAGAAGCUCCUGGGAAGAACUUCUGCGAUGAGGGCCAAGGCAGUGUGUUUGGAUAUGAGAGGCUGGAAAAUGUGGCAACUUGAAACACUCCCAUUUUCUUGGCAAAUAUCAAAUUGUAAUAUCUUUAAUAACUUUUUAAGGAGGUUAGCUGUUGUACAUAACUAAAUUCUUAACAUAAAAGUGAAAUCUUUGGGGGUAUGUAUCGCUCACCCAUAAAUACCAAAACCGUGACCAAAAUAAAAAGACUUGCUUUUGUUUGUAUCAGCCAGUGGGGUCUCUUGGCCUCUACCCCUUGCCCUGCCCCAGUGCAGUGUGGACCCUCUGGUCUAUAUGCGGGCUGUCAGCUGCCUGUUUUCUCCCCCCACCCACACCCCCACCAUGGUCUUACAGACAGUUGCAUCCUGACUUAAGGAGCCACUGUGUUAACAUUUCUCAGGAGCUCACCACCAGUGCCCUCGAGGCACAGAACAGUUACAACUCUUAGAGAUCAGUCAUAAUCACAAAACUAUAGCUUUUUUUGUUCAUUCUGACUACAUAAGGAAUUGUGCUUUAUAGUAAUUCUGGAAAAUACUAAAAUUACCAAGAAAAUUUUAACGUUACCUAUAAUUUCACCCCCUCAAGUCACCUUAAUAUAUGUGUGCAUUUCCACCUCCCAGACUUUUUUCUAUGCAUUAAAAAAAAAAGACCAGGAUGAUACAUUAUAUACAAUUUUAUACUCUGUUUUAUUUCUA